UUUUUUUGAAUAAAAGGGGUUCCCCUGCUCCAUUUUUAUUAAUGAAACAUAAGUCGAACGAGUUUACAUUCAACAGCGAACACAAAACAUAACAAACAUGGGAAAAACCAAACGAGAGUCUAGCCAAAGUUACAUGCGCUAAAAAACAUAACAAAUAAAAGAAACACAAGCUACUUCCAAUUCAGCUCCUCUAGGCGAUGCGCAGAAGUUUCCCUCUGUAUUUGUCAAGCUUAGUGACGAAUUGCCGCAGUGCUCCUUCCUGUGUGGCGUUGCGGAGAACAACCCAUUGCCGGAGAAAACUUCAAAGUUUCACAAGAACGCAGUCCACACUUUUCCAAGAUUGAUCCUGGAAACAAAAUUCAUUUCUUAGUCUCCAAAUACUCCAUAAGAAGGCAACAACAAUCAUGUACUGGAUUGUCAUUUUCUUAUGAACUAGCCACAAGGCACAAAUAUCUUUAAAACAUGACAUAAUUGACAUCUGAAAUGAUUCAGCAAAAAGUUUCCAGAUGCAUUUAGCCAUUAUGCAAUCAAAAAAUAGAUGUUGUACAGAUUCCAGUUCAUUACAGAAUAAGCAAGAAGGAUCAUCAACAUUUUUUCUCUUAGCUAAGUUAUCUCUGGUUAGGACUUUAUUAUAAACACUUAGCCAAAUAAAAACAUGGAUAUUCUGUAGGCAGAGAAUUUCCCAUAAUUUGUCACCUAUGGCAGAAGCCACCCCAUCAAAGUUAAUAGAGUAUACCCCCUUGGAUUCCAGCAUCCAUAUUGGAACAUCACAGGAAUCAGGUAAUCGAGUCUUUUGAAUAAUAUCAAGUAAUUGGUUCCAUUUAUCAACCCCUCUACUGACAACACAUAUUCUAAAGGAGAGCUUAAGAUCUACACCGUCCCAAACCUGAGAGACAGUGCAGUCAGGUUGGUUGCAUAUGUAGAAUAACUCCCAAAAUUGAACCUUCAGGGAACAUUCCACCACCCAUAGAUCAUGCCAAAACUUAAUACUCCUACCAUUACCAAUUUUCCACCUAUAGAACGUCUUGGAGGCAUUAAGAGCCCAUGUUACACUCUUCCAAAAGGAAGAUUCAUUAUCAGAUUUAGACCAAAGUACAUUGGGAGACUCAGUGUUAUACUUGAAAGAAAUGAUAUCUUUCCAGUCUUUUUUCUGAUUAUCAAAAAAUCUCUUACCCCGGGAGGCCAAUAAGGCCAUAUUAAACUCUUUCAGGUUAGGUAUCCCUAAACCCCAAAGGAUUUCUUCCUAGUAAUCAGCCCCCAAUUAGCAAGGUGAUAUUUGUGCUCGUCCCCCAUAUUCCCCCAGAAAAAAUGUGUCAUUUGCGAAUUAAUAGCCUCAAUAGCCCAUUUUGGAAACUUAAUUACUGCCAUAAGGUAAGCAGGAAUACUGACAAUACAUGCACAAAACAGAAUCAAUUUCCCUGUGUAAGUAAGAUGUUUACCUAACCAAGCAGAAAUACAUUUGAUGAUCCUGUCAAUGAUUGGUUGAAGUUCUUCCCUACGUAGUUUGUCAUAGUGCAAAGGCACACCCAAGUAUUUAACAGGGAAAGGCCCAACCUUACAACUAAAUUUUUUGGCAAAAGAUUUAGUCAUCUCAUCCUCAAUGUUAAUAGUUAACAAAUCACUCUUAUGAAAAUUGAUUUUCAUCCCAGAUAGAUUUUCAAAGCAAGAGAGGAUCCAUUUAAAAUUUCUCGCUUUCUCACAAGAGUUUUCUAGGAAAAGGAGAGUAUCAUCAGCAUAUUGUAAGCUGGUGAUCCCUCCUUUUAUCACAUCAGGCAGAAGCCCUGAAAUGAGAUUCCGUUGAGCUUCUUUAACUAACAUUUUAGAGAAAACAUCAGCUACAUGAUUAAAAAGGAUGGGAGAAAUUGGGUCCCCUUGUUUAAGGCCUUUGCCACCAACAAAAUAGGGGCAGUCGUAUCAUUAAUACGUACACUAAACGUACCCUUCAGCAUAACACUCUUGAUACAGGAGAUCCAUUUAUCCCCAAAGCCCCUCGACUCCAACAUCUCAAAGAGAAAUUCCCAUCUCACUCUAUCAUAUGCUUUCUCAUAGUCUAAUUUGAGCACAAGCCCCUGAGUUUUGGAUCGUUUGACUUCAUGAAUUACUUCAUGAGCCAACACCACACUCUCAAGAAUAAAUCUCCCUUUGAUGAAAGCAGUUUGGUUGGGAGAAAUCAGUCUAUCCCCCAUAGGGGACAAUCUGGUAGUCAUUGCUUUAGUAAGAAUCUUAACUGCACAAUUCCCAAGGCUAAUAGGUCUGAAUUCCUUCAUAUCCUUGGUAUCAGCUUCUUUAGGAAUUAGAACAAUUAUGGCAAAAUUCAACUUAUAUAUGUCAAACUUCCCUUCUUCAAAGUCUUUUACUAAGGCCAUAAAGUCAGUUUUAAUCAACUCCCAGAAGGAUUGAUAGAACAAAAAAUAAAGGCCAUCAGGGCCUGGAGCACCAUGUGCAUACGAUCGGAAAAUGGCCUCUUUAAUUUCCUCCUCAGAGAAACUAUUUUGUAAUAUCUCAUUCUCAUCGGGAGUAACCAUCUCUUCUUCCUUCCAAGAGGAAGGACCCAAGGAAAUAUUAUGCUUAUGCUCAUAACCAAAGAGGUUCUUAUAAAAAGAAGUGGCAAUAUCAAUCAUCUCUUUGGUGGAAUGAAUUGGGCCAUCAUCACCAUUCAACUCAUAUAAGUGGUUCUUCCUAUGGCGAUGCUUAGCAAAAGCAUGGAAAUAUUUAUUUUUCUUGUCACCGUCUUUGAUCCUGCUAUCUCUGGACCGCUGCCACAAGGCAGUUUCUUCUUUCCUCCAGAUAUCCUCUAAUUCUCUUUUAAUCUCCUUCAUACGAAUCUUAUCAUUGGUAUCUAAUCAGUUGGUUUCAGAGAACACAUCAAGAAUGUCAAACUCUUGUAAAAGGACCUUCUUCUUCUUUCUCAUAGCAGCCUCUAGAUAAAUACUCCAGCCUUUAAUCUUUUUCCGUAAGAUCCUAGUUUUAUUCAUCCAGUUAUCGAUAGAUUUACCCAAACAAACUAUAUUAGUCCAAGUUUUGCAAACUAGUUCUUUAAAAUAUGGUUGGUCAAGCCACCACUUGUCAAACCGAAAAGGUUUGGGGGAGGUAACCCUCCGAGCUUUAGUGUCUAAGAGGAGCGGAGUGUGAUCACUACCAACUCGAGGGAGCGUAGAUAGAACAAUCAACGGGAAGUGAGCAUCCCAGGAUGUGGAAACAAACACACGAUCAAUCAUCGCAAAAAUAAGGUCAUCUUGGUUGUUACUCCAUGUAUAGCUCCUAUUAGCAAUAUUAAUCUCCAUGAGACCCCAUUUGUUAAUCCAAUCAUUAAAAAGCAGAGUGGACUGGUUAUUAAUCAACCCAUUCUUUUUGUCAAAUACAGAUCUAACCAAAUUAAAAUAUCCACCAAGGAGAACAAGGUAAGAUAAAUUAUGCAUGAUAUCAUGCAGCUCAGGAAUGAACUCAACUUUGUGCUCAUUGUAAGCAGUGCCAUAAACUGCAAUAAAAUGUCAUAAGAAGCCAUCCUCUUUAUUCUUAAUUGUAACUACCACGCAGUAAUUUUUGUUAAUAAAACCAAUAACUUCAUAGAGAUCAUUUCUAAGGCCCACAAGGAUGCCACCAGCAGUAUUAAUAGCACGUAAGGUAUGCCAACAGAAAUCACCACCACAAGCAAUCGAUUUCAGAAUAUGGCUAUCAAUGAUCUCUCUUUUAGUUUCAAAGAAACCAACAAAAUCAACUCUAUGAUUAUGGAGAAAGUCUCCUAGGCACUGUAUCUUCCCAUGUUGUCCUAGACCCCUGAUAUUCCAAAAGGCUCCUAUCAUGAGAUUUUAAAGGGGUGUGACAAGCCACAAGACUUACUUUUUGUGAGUAGGGUUGGACUAUCCUUCACUAAAACAGUAGUGCCCCUGUUUUAGAUCUAGGAACAGAGCCAAGAGGUGAGGAAUAAGUUUGAAAAACCACAUCUAGAUUAUCAGGGAGGACAUCCUUCGGGUUAAGAUCAACAAAUUGAAGGCAUCUAAGUUUUUCAUUUUCUAUCAUGUCAUCAAGAAUAGCACAUUGUUCUUUAUCAUCUUUACCAAUACAUAUAUCAAUUUUCCUAGCCUGGUCCACAAGGUUAUAAUUUUCUAGACAGGAAAAAGAUUUACCUUUGAAUGAUG
rnacentral:lncRNA from 1 species